rnacentral:rRNA from 1 species
UACGAAGGGGGCUAGCGUUGCUCGGAAUUACUGGGCGUAAAGGGCGCGUAGGCGGACAUUUAAGUCAGAGGUGAAAGCCCAGGGCUCAACCUUGGAAUUGCCUUUGAUACUGGAUGUCUUGAGUUCGGGAGAGGUGAGUGGAAUGCCGAGUGUAGAGGUGAAAUUCGUAGAUAUUCGCAAGAACACCAGUGGCGAAGGCGGCUCACUGGCCCGAUACUGACGCUGAGGCACGAAAGCGUGGGGAGCAAACAGG